GUUAAGAGUUGAAAAGAUCUGAUCGAUGGGUAGCAAUCCAAUAUGCAAUAAUGCCAUAUAGAAACCCCAAAUUCCCUUGGAUAUUAGAAUCAAGCAACAAACAGUGCAUACAAUAUUAACUUGAAGAGCAAGGCAUCAAAUAAAGAUUGCCACAUCUAAGCUUUAGCCACUCCACAAUCUUCUUCAAAUUGGCCUAUGUAGCAGAUGAAUUC
rnacentral:lncRNA from 1 species